rnacentral:sRNA from 1 species
UUCAUAAUCUGUUCAUGUCUUCCAUAAUUUGUUCAUAUUUUUCAUAAUCUGUUCAUGUCUUCCAUAAUUCUGUUUUUCAUAGUUGUUGGAGCUUCGUCUUGUACACGAAUGUUCAUACAAUUACGAUCAAGCAACUAUUAUGUAACCCUUUGAGAUCUAAGCAACUAUUAUGUAACCCUUUGAGAUCUAAGCAACUAUUAUGUAACCCUUUGAGAUCUAAGCAACUAUUAUUUAACCCUUUGAGAUCUAAGCAGCUCUUCAACUUUUGAGAUUUAAAGCUUCACUCAUCUCGGCUCCACAAAAGACAAAAUAUAGUACCCUUAACCCUUAACUUACUGAAUUAUUUCUGCAACCAUUGUUUUAUGAGGGUGUCUUGUGGUCAUUACCCCCCCACACACACACACACACACACAUACACACAAGUUUUAAGCUGAAUAAACUCCGGAAGUCAUCAAAUAUCAAGUUGAAAAAAAAAAUCCUGGAAUCGUUUUAAUCAGGAAAGUAAUAGUUUUGUAGUUAAGGGGAUUGUACUCAAAUCAAUUUAUGAGGGAGAACUCAUUAAUUUUAUUGUAUGAAUUGUUAUUUCCUGUCCACUUUGUGUGUUAUAAUUUUUUUUACAUGUAUAUAAUGUUUAUAAAGAAUCAUACUAUUUUUACACA